rnacentral:rRNA from 1 species
CAGUCGCCACGGGAAUACGUAGGGUCCGAGCGUUGUCCGGAAUUAUUGGGCGUAAAGGGCUCGUAGGCGGUUUGUUGCGUCGGGAGUGAAAUCCUCCAGCUUAACUGGGGGCCUGCUUUCGAUACGGGCAGACUAGAGGCAUUCAGGGGAGAACGGAAUUCCUGGUGUAGCGGUGAAAUGCGCAGAUAUCAGGAGGAACACCGGUGGCGAAGGCGGUCUCUGGGCAUUAACUGACGCUGAGGAGCGAAAGCAUGGGGAGCGAACAGGAUUAGAUACCCGGGUAGUCCCUGUCUCUUAUACA